rnacentral:rRNA from 1 species
CUUAUUUUUUUGAUAGCAAACUGACCUUAGUGCCUCUGUUGGUUUGAGGGGAAAGAGAAGGCAAGAGAGAUGGCCGACACUAAACCUAUUCGCGCCGGUACCCAACCCGUUCCCUCUCGUGACUUAUUGCGCCGUUCGACGAGUUCGAGCAGUACAUGCCGCCUAUCGCCCAUCGCCGGCACCGCUGCCGCGACCUCCAACCACCGCGCUUCGUCCGCCACUGCGUCGACUGUCUCCCGCGUGACCAAUUGUCUAAAGGACCUGCUUGAGCACGCAGGAGUAGAAGGUUCGACCAACAUGGUUUAGCUCAUCCUACGAACAUUCACGUAUCAGACCUCCGGUCGAGACUGACUCCACACCCGGCGCGCAAGCUCGAUGACUACAACGCGGCCGUGGUCGCUCCGGCGUAGAGCGCAGUGAUUAGACCUUUCCGCCUACGACCAGUGGCCCGUCCACUGCCCACGGCCCUGUCUCUUGAAACCGCGACGUAACUUUCCGAACAACAAAGAAAAAGCAGGAUCGGACUCCUUCUCGUUGUCUAAAGAGUAGGUUACUCGUCACUCCCCAGAGUGUCUCAUACCUCACGACUAAGGACUUAAAGGACCUGUUUUAGUAGGAUGACCCAAAUUCGAACAACCACGGCCCAGUAGUUACGGUCCCGCCCCAUACCGUCUUUUAUUACCGACCGACUACCUCUUACCAACUUAGACUCCGUUUACUAUUUCCCCCGUAACACAGAUACCAGGAAUUCUCCAUACCCCAUUGUCUCCGUCUCAGUAUACUACUCUAGCGCGCUAUUUAUUUAUCGUCGUUUUACACUCGUCGCACACGUCCGCCGGAUACUCAACAACGGGAGGAUGGUUUACAGAAUCUCUGAGUAAUAGGUCCUUCUCACUACUAUCGUAUAUAACCUUGAUUACGUCGUGGGCUAAACAGGCCAAAGUACAGAGUGAGGUCAUUCAAGAAGAUUACAAGAGGAUACUUUGUAAACAAGAAGAUCACAGGGAUCUCAUGAAAUAGAUAGGGUUAGUAAAAACAAUUCAAGAAAGACGGCUCACGGAUACGUAUAAACCUCAUUAUUCUUAUUAACUAGAAACGAAGUCGAACUAAAACUACGCUCAUUUGAAUUUAAAACUAAUCUUAGUAAUAUUUAUAUGUCGUCACGUUUAACAAAACAAUUGUAACUACCUACAGUACCUAGCCAAGGAAGAACUUGGAGUUUAACAACAACGGAAGUUUUUAUAGAAUUCUUCAUAAAUGUAAAAUAGCUGUCACAUACAUACUUUCAAAUAAUCUUUAAAUCUAAAAAAACGCCCUCUAACCUUUAGUUCUGAACGAGUAGUCUACCUUUGUAGAUUUGUGUGUACCUCAGUCGUUUCAAUAAUGGAUUAAUUUAAACUACUGAACAACAGACGGAAGAAAACUACGAUCGACCCACGGUUUUACAGCAUCCUCGCAUGACCUACGUAGCACAGAAACUAGGAUACCGUACUACCUUUCGUAUAACCUAUCCGACGUCAGAACGAAAGCUAGAUGGGCCGCACGCUCGCCGCGAACACACAAGUUUCGGUAGUACAAAGAAGCGUACGUAACCCUCAAAGAGAGAGGAAGUACACAUGCUGCAGGAACACAUUAACACACACAUCUACGGAUACCAACGUUCUUUAGUUAGUCCGGUAUACUUUUAGUUCAUCUUUUAUUAACUAGUUUAACAUGAAGCGUACACACUUUGGGUACACAGUUAGUCCGCUUCCGAAGUUUCGUCAGAAAACCUUAGAGGGAAGAGGGGCGUUCAAGUGUAGGAGUUGGUUACUAAUCUAAUGAAACCAAGAGAAAAAAGACUUUUCUUCCUAAUCAUGCCAAGGUAUAGACUAAGGCUAACAUUGAUUUUCUUAACAAAUAACCAUUUAUUUCUUGCCC